CACCACGCAGGGCAGCUGUGGGAGUGCCCCGUGCCGGUCGGUGCUGGUGGAUGUCGUGACAGAGAGAACGUUGCAGCCUGCCAGAAGAUACAUGGGGUUUUUGCCUUUGUGGCUGGAGCAGUGCUGACAACACACCAGUGUUUCAGCUAUUGCUGAACAGUGCUUGCACAGCAUCAAGGCUUUCCUUCUUCCCCCAUUUGGCUGACAAGAUCACAACAGAAGACGGACAACUUGGGUGUUCGGACUUUUCCCAUGAUUUAAUGUGUGCCCCACUGUGCUUUCAACUCACCCCAGCUGAGGACUAAAACAGGGCAUGAGAAUUCCACGAUCUUUUGAUCUUCCAGAAGGCGAGGACAGCACAGAAGCUUCUUGGAGCGGAGUCCAGUAGAGUCACGUUAAUAUCCUGACUCACAUAAGGCUUGUUUCAUAUGUGACGCAUAGGGUAGUCCCCAGAUUUAAGUCUUCUGCAUAUUUGUGCUUGUUUUGUACUUCAUGAAAUGGAAUACUUGAUUUUAAAGCAAAGUUGUAUAAAUAUUACUUUUCUUUUAUUCUAGUUGCUUACAAAAUUGUAUGUAAAAUAAUAGUAACAGAAGGUAAAAUAACAGCUUUACUGUAGUCUGAACAGUAGUAAUGUUUUCAUUUUAGAAAGCUGCACAGGCUUUGGUCACCAAAAUACCAGUUUUAUUAUACCACCUGUGCUCAACUAAUUCUUCACAAUUAAUAUUCAUGUAAGAAUUACUAUUAAUUGAAGUGUUAUGGUUUCAAUUGUAAUGUCAAAAUAUACAUUUUUACAGUUUUUCAAUAAAAUGGAACACUUGCUCUUUU